rnacentral:lncRNA from 1 species
AUAUCAAUACAUACUAAGAGUGAAGAUUUAAACCUUCCUCUUUCAUGAAACACCAAUCUUGCCAAAUAAACUCCAGUCAUAAUUAAAUACAGGCAAAUGUAGUAUCAGGUCUAUUUUAGUAAAGGCAAAUUCUUGCCAUUCCUCUCAGAACUCUUUUUAAAAAAGUAAUCUAUUAAAACCAAAGUUUCUAACACUCACCGACACUCCACAAUUUUUCUAGUAAGGCUGAAUUUAUUCCAUGACAUUUUUUUCAAGUUAGCUGUAAACACUCCACCCUCUUCGAUUGUGCAACAACCAAACACAUCACACAAAUACAAGUCACAAAAAAGGGAAAUACAGUUUAAGAGUUUGAAUUUAGGUAAGUUUUGAGCAGAGGAUCUUAGAGCAGUGCACAACGCGAUAUAAAAGUUAACAUUUAACAAAUCAUAUUAAUUCACAUUAUUACGAAAGGAGAUGCCGGAAAGAGCCUGAACCAGUUAAAGCAGCCGCCAUCUUAAAAUGCGGGAUAGAAGUUAGAGCAAGAAAAUGAGACUAAACCACCGGAGGUGGAGGUUCCGCUCACUCCCAGAGCUCCGAAAAAUCCUAGUUUUUUUUCAACUUAAAUCGAUAAUAUACUAUCAAACCACAUUUCAAGUAACGAAACAAGGGUGUUAUUAAAUAGAAUGAGGCAAAAAUAGGUACAUUAGCUUUCCCUUACUGCCAUCGCACCCCUUAUCCACCCCCACUCUCCAGCCAAAAGGAAAAGGGAGCUUCCAGAAUGCCUUUUACAUCAGUUCCCGGUGUCCCUCGGAUAAAUAGCUUCGGGUGAAAAGCUGCAACUACAAAAUACAGGAAGUGGCAACACUGUGUCAUUCCAUCUCCUCCCAAACCCACUUAUUCGGUGUAACCUGCCCAGAGUCGACUAAGAGUUUCUACUAGACUCACUGACUGACCUUCAAUACGCAAGACUUCUUCUACCCGACCCUCAGUCAAGUUCGGGACUCGCCAGAUUUUUUUUCUCUCCUCCGAGUUUUCUUUCUUACCCCUAGAAGGCCUAGAUAACCUUGAUCUCACAACUAAACUAAGUUUUCAAGCACCAAGAAUAGGAAGCGCCAUGACAUCUGCUGGAGCGUCUCUCCGCAAUUCGGACCCCCAAAAAAACUCCUUCUUAAGCAGCAAAAAAAUAAAAUAAUAAAGGCGCCUUAAGUCACUCUCCUCCACCCCUAAUUUGCACCGAUUCCACUGAAGCACUCAGGAUAACACCUCACUUGCCACAAGUGUUCUCCGUUUCCUAGCUUUAAACUUCAUUUCUUCAAGAAGUAUAUCUGCGUUCUCCAUCCCCCCAUGGAAGAAGUGAUCCAAGAGGUAUUUUCAGAAUUAUGCUUCCUUCCCACCCCCACGCUUUCCUCUUGGCCCGAGCCUUCCUUUUCUCCUACCACCCCAUGCCCUUGUCCCCGCGGGUUACCUUAUUAAUCCGUUUCAGCGCCAUAGUGUGUGCUUGUCGUCUGGCUCCUCACUCUCUCGGUGUAUGCUCAAAGGUCCGGCCAAAACUCUUGAUUAUCCCGGCGGCGGGGCAGGAUUGUCUCGUCUCACACCAGCUCUGCCAGACACAGGCGCCUUUUGCAAAAACGGAGCAGAUCAGCACUCGCACAGGCCCCGAAGAGCCCCUGAUGAAUCCAGGUCCCUUAAGACAGCCGCGAUCCGGGGUGGGUGGGGUGGCGUGGCAAAGCCACCAACAGCCUCUGUACCGUGCUUUCGGCCCGAAGUGGGGGCGAGGGUGACGGGAAGAGCGGAGGUGGUGGCUACAAGUUUAACUUCCCGGCCUCUAGAAAGGAAGAGACCCGGGUGGGAGAGGAAGAGGCGUAGGAGAAAGGGGUGGGUGCGGGGCAGGGUCCGGAGCCCAGCAGAGGAGGAGCCGGGGCCUAGUCGGCGCUAUACCGGCGUCACUAGGGCAAAGAAAGGCAAGGGGGGAGGGGGAAGCAUAAGACUCCGGACGGACGCCGGGCUGCUUUCGGUUUCUGUCCAAAGGUGCGGCCGGGAAAAGGAAGGAAAUAAAGGAAGGGAGACUUGAUGUGUAUUGCUAUCCUCGCAGCGAGCUAUUCUGUGUCACCCCUGACGCCACCGUACACUCACUCCGCCUUCCAGCGCGCUCCCGCGCGCGCCCGCCCAGCCACCUCCACCACGCGCCCGCGCUGUCCCUGAGGCUCCGGCUUAGGCGCGAGGACGCGCCCAUUCCCCCUCCUCCUCCAGCAGGAGAGGCCGCGGCUUCCCCAACCUUCCCACCCUAACCCACCGCACCCAAUAGGCUGGCCGCUCAAGCCGCCCAGGUCCCGCACUGCCCCUCUUACCCGGCCGGCCACUGGGCCGGCCUCCCUUCCCUGCCCUAGCCGUCCACACCCACGCGUACAGAGGGGCCGGGGCCUCCCUCAAGCUGCGGCCUCGGCCUCCUCCCCGCGCGGCAGCUGGUGCCUCCCCGGCCCUACGGGGCUCACGCGCACGACACAGCCACAAGAUGUCCGCUCUGACGGAACUACUGCCAGCUGCCACGCUCCGCCCCUCCCCCUCCUCCUGCCUCUUCACCGCCGCGGAUCAGUCCGCCAACGCCGCCGUCCCGAGCACAAGACCGAUGUGAGGCCGAAGCCAGACGGCUUGCUUCCCACGUCCGGGGCCGAGUGAAUACGUGUCAAGCCCUUUUCCUUCUUCUCGGAACAGCACCUUCUUACUAAACAGAUCGGAGAUUGGACCAGGAGGGCGGGGGAGGGAGGAGGAUCAUGAGCUGGGGGGAGGGUGAACGAGUGGCGGAAACCCUUAGGCUCAGAGAAGCAUCGAGAACCGGAAGGAGACCAUGGGAGGAAGUACCUCUUGACUUGCUACUGGUACCUGGAAGAGAUGUAACACCUGACCAUGGGACAUCAAGUGACUGUGUGAAUCAAACUGCCCAUCAUGAAUUGUUGUUAUUUGACUCAUCAAACUGUACAACUGGAUGAACACAGGAGCAGUGCACUACAUAUGGGACUGGAACCAUGAAUGAGCAGGUGACUCAGACUCCUAUAGUACCUGCCUCUACUCCUUCAGCACUUCUCCCUCAACCCACAUAAACUGUCAUCAUAAUGAGUUCCCUCUGACCAGUUAAUGGAAGAGAAAAAAGUAUGGAUGUUAUGGAUAUCCUAACAUAUUUCUGGCCAUUGGACCCCUAGAAACCUGUGGCAAGUCCUGGAAGUUUUUCAAGGUUCAUCUUGCACCUUCUAGCAUGCAUAUGUCGUACCAAAGCAUGUAGAAUGCUGCCUACUUCUG